GAUGAAGAACGUAGCAAAAUGCGAUAAGUAAUGUGAAUUGCAGAAUUCAGUGAAUCAUCGAAUCUUUGAACGCACAUUGCGCCCGCCGGUAUUCUGGCGGGCAUGCCUGUUCGAGCGUCAUUUCAACCCUCAAGCACAGCUUGGUGUUGGGACUCGCGUUAAUUCGCGUUCCCCAAAUUGAUUGGCGGUCACGUCGAGCUUCCAUAGCGUAGUAGUAAAACCCUCGUUACUGGUAAUCGUCGCGGCCACGCCGUUAAACCCCAACUUCUGAAUGUUGACCUCGGAUCAGGUAGGAAUACCCGCUGAACUUAAGCAUAUCAAUAAGCGGAGGA
rnacentral:misc_RNA from 1 species